rnacentral:rRNA from 1 species
GAUGAACGCUGGCGGCGUGCCUAAUACAUGCAAGUCGAGCGAACGGACGAGAAGCUUGCUUCUCUGAUGUUAGCGGCGGACGGGUGAGUAACACGUGGAUAACCUACCUAUAAGACUGGGAUAACUUCGGGAAACCGGAGCUAAUACCGGAUAAUAUUUUGAACCGCAUGGUUCAAAAGUGAAAGACGGUCUUGCUGUCACUUAUAGAUGGAUCCGCGCUGCAUUAGCUAGUUGGUAAGGUAACGGCUUACCAAGGCAACGAUGCAUAGCCGACCUGAGAGGGUGAUCGGCCACACUGGAACGGAGACACGGUCCAGACUCCUACGGGAGGCAGCAGUAGGGAAUCUUCCGCAAUGGGCGAAAGCCUGUCGGAGCAACGCCGCGUGAGUGAUGAAGGUCUUCGGAUCGUAAAACUCUGUUAUUAGGGAAGAACAUAUGUGUAAGUAACUGUGCACAUCUUGACGGUACCUAAUCAGAAAGCCACGGCUAACUACGUG